ensembl:lncRNA
CCCGGCUCCGGCCAGAGUGCCCCGCAGACUGGCCCCCCGCGUCCCCGCUCGAGAGGCAGGGGAGCUCCAGACUCUAGAAAGUGCGAGAAAGUCGGCCCGGGGCGGAGAACCCGCCGGGCCCCCUGUCUCCCCUUGUUGGGCGACUCGGGGGCCCCCCCAGGGGAUGCGAAGGCGGGCGGACUGUGGGGCGAAGGCUCUGGAGCGGCUGGAAGCCCGGGCCUGUGGCCGGUGGGGCCGCCGGGCCGGGCGCCUCAGGAGCAGCGCCUGUGGGGAGUGGGUUUGAAGGAGGAAGCAGGACGCGGGAGACACGUGUGAAGCACGUUGUCGGAGGUGAAGUCUGCGGAAGCCAAGGCCUUCUCCCGGUCAGAAAAGUCGGCGGGCGGCAGAGCGCCCUGUUGGCCGGCGUUCACCUUGGCUUGGGUGGCCUGGGUGCAGACGUCCCCCGCUCAGGGUUUCCUUAGCUCCCCGAAAGUGGGAAAGCCUCACUUUUACCUGGGGCGACGUUUCAAUACACAGAUCAUAAAAUCUCAGGAGAUGAGACUUGGAGUCCACCCACAAGUUCUGAAACUCCUCUCAAGUUUGCUGAUGAUAUUUUGAGAAGUUCAACAACCUGGAUGUCCUACCAAUAUCCUAUUGAUACUUCCCUGGCUGCUGAAGCCCAGGACCUUUAAUUCAGAAACAGGGAAAACAACUGAAGCCUUCGGAGAUGGGGAUACCAUGUUUUAGGAAAAGUACAAAAUGAAGAGUAAUCUCUCUGGAAUAUGAAGAACAAGAUGGGAAGGACUGCAGACACUAAGGGAAGUAACUGAGGAGAUUCAUCGUUAGAAUUGCAAGCAGCUGGAUAAUCAGCACCAAGUUCUUAUCUCUUGCACUGAUAAACUCAACUGGCUUCACAGCAAACUGGAUCAGCUGCAUACAUAAACCACCAGGACCUGAAGAGACCAAGGCCCAAUACUUCAAUCUCACCUCCUCAUAUUUGUCUUUAAAUCCUGAAAGUACAAGUCAU